UACGUAGGGCGCAAGCGUUGUCCGGAAUUAUUGGGCGUAAAGAGCUCGUAGGCGGUUUGUCGCGUCGGCUGUGAAAACCCGAGGCUCAACCUCGGGCCUGCAGUCGAUACGGGCAGACUAGAGUGUGGUAGGGGAGACUGGAAUUCCUGGUGUAGCGGUGAAAUGCGCAGAUAUCAGGAGGAACACCGGUGGCGAAGGCGGGUCUCUGGGCCGUAACUGACGCUGAGGAGCGAAAGCAUGGGGAGCGAACAGG
rnacentral:rRNA from 1 species